AGCGAACGCUGGCGGCAGGCUUUACACAUGCAAGUCGAACGCCCCGCAAGGGGAGUGGCAGACGGGUGAGUAACACGUGGGAACGUACCCUUUGGUUCGGAAUAACUUGGGGAAACUCAAGCUAAUACCGGAUAAGCCCUUAUGGGGAAAGGUUUACUGCCGAAGGAUCGGCCCGCGUCUGAUUAGCUAGUUGGUGAGGUAAUGGCACACCAAGGCGACGAUCAGUAGCUGGUCUGAGAGGAUGAUCAGCCACACUGGGACUGAGACACGGCCCAGCCUCCUACGGGAGGCAGCAGUGGGGAAUAUUGGACAAUGGGGGCAACCCUGAUCCAGCCAUGCCGCGUGAGUGAUGAAGGCCUUAGGGUUGUAAAGCUCUUUUACCCGGGACGAUAAUGACUGUACCGGGAGAAUAAGCCCCGGCUAACUUCGUGCCAGCAGCCGCCGUAA
rnacentral:rRNA from 1 species